AUAAACUAACGUCGCACACACAUCGUCACGUGCUAUCUGGGUGCCUUAUUAACUCUAAGUUGAUAGGUUGAUUCAUGGGAUGUGUGGAGGCUUAAC
rnacentral:sRNA from 1 species